rnacentral:misc_RNA from 1 species
AUUACUGUCAUGCGCAUAUGUCGUGUGCAUUGUAUCCCAAAUUUAAAUUGCGCCGUCGCAAAUCGCUAAAUUCCAUAAUCCACAGGUUGUUUUUUAGUUAGUCCGUGUUUAUUUUUAUUGAAGCUGGGACGGGAUCUUGUCUGCGAUAUCCUGUUAGUGAAUGUUUUCUUCAGUGGUGUGUUUCAAUAUUUAUCUUAAAUAAUAUUUCCGUAAUAAAAGACAUGGGUGUUGUGUUGCCCCCGUUGGAGUUUACCGAGUGUUUGAGUGAUAGCCCCUAUUUUAGGGAAAACUUACAUAAACAUGAACGAGAGCUGGAAAAGACUAACCAGCAGAUAAAGAGGAUUAUUAAAGAAGUUAAAGACCUUUUGGCAGCCGAGAGACAACUUGGAGACGCCCAAAAAUCGUUUGCCACUUGUCUCAGAACGUUCACGUUUGAGACUAUAGGCGGCACCCAAACUGACGAUGAGACCACUAUAUGCAACUCCCUAAAAACUUUCAGUGAAUUAAUAUUGCAAGUGGAAGAGGAGCGUAAGAGAAUGGUGGAUAAUGCCAAUUCGACUGUGCUAAAACCUCUCGAGGAGUUCCGAAAAAAAUACAUCGGAGGAGUAAAGAAUGAAAAAAAGAAAUUUGAGAAGCAAACCGCGAAAUUUUGCCAAAAUCAAGAGAGAUAUCUCAACAAAACGACGAAGAAUCCCAAUACAUUGCAAGAGGCUGAUGCUUCGGUGGAUAUGGCAGAACGUCAUUUUUAUGCAGCCAGCAUGGAUUAUGUGUAUUUAAUUCAAGAGGUGCAUGAAAGGAAAAAGUUUGAGUUCGUGGAAAGCCUGUUGACUUUUGUUUAUGCAUAUUUUACUUUCUAUCAUCAGGGUCACGAAAUAAAGAAAGACUUCGACCCAUUUAUGAAAGAUCUCCAAUCAAAAAUUCAAAAGACUCGAGGCAAUUUCGACGAUUUUAGCGAAAAACUAAAAAAGCGGAUGUCUGAGGUUCAAAAACAAGAAGGACCCUUGAGCACUUCCAAAGGUUGUAAGGAGGGUUAUUUAUUCUUACUGGAAAAAAAAGCCUUUGGGACCACUUGGACAAAGAACUAUUGUAAAUAUGACAAGAAUACUAAGGAAUUUACAAUGCUUCCUUAUAAUCAGCUUACCACUAAAACGCUUCCACAACCAGAAAAACUGGUUAUUACCACCUGCAUAAGGAGAAAAUCUGAAUCGAUAGACAAGAGAUUUUGUUUUGAUAUACAAGCAGACAGUAAGCCUGGAGUGGUUUAUACGCUACAAGCUCUAUCUGAGCAAGAUCGGACUAGUUGGAUGGAUAUUAUGGAUGGAAAGGAACCAACUUAUACAGUACCCUCAAACAAAGUUACAAAUACGAUGGAUGAAAACUAUGUAUUGGAUGAUGUGGGGAUACAAUUCGUAAAGAAAUGUAUUGAAGUAUUAGAGAAUAGAGGAUUAGAAGAACAGGGAAUUUAUCGGGUGGUUGGUGUUGCCUCAAAAGUUAAUAAGUUGUUGGCAAUGGGUUUGGAUCGAAGAAAAAAUGAUAAAUUAAAUCUGGAAGAUCCUCAAGAGUGGGAAACAAAAACCAUAACAAGUGCACUGAAAACCUACUUAAGGAAUCUUCCUGAGCCAUUGAUGUCCUAUAAAUAUCAUAAUGAUUUUAUUAAUGCAGUCAAAAGGGAUUCAAAGCAAAACAGGGUACAUGAAGUUCAUAAAUUGUUAUAUAAAAUCUCAAGAACUAAUUUUGAAGUGUUAAAGAUUUUAAUAAAGCAUUUAACCAACGUUGCAGAAAAAAGCGAAAAAAACCUCAUGACUAUCAGCAACCUAGGGGUAUGCUUUGGACCAACUUUACUCCGUCCCGAAGAAGAAACCGUGGCCUCAAUAAUGGACCUAAAAUUUUAUAACAUCGUAGUUGAAAUCCUCAUCGAAAACUACAAUCGUCUCUUUUUUACGGAGCCAUUGGUACCAAAAUUCGGGCAGUUGCCGCCAAACAAUCAUUUGCCCACAGAUUCGGGAGAAACGUAUGCUGGGAAUAAAGUUUAUAGCGGGGGACAACCUGUGCGAGUUUCACCUAGCUACAGAAAUCCUCCAGGCUAUAAUCCAUCUGUACCAUAUAACAUUACCGUCUCUUCUUAUAUAGACCAACAACCACUACCCAUCAAUUUGUAUUCUUCUAUACCCGAGCCAAUAUCGGAUAGUAUCAUGUAUGGCAUGUCUAGAAGUGAGCAUAGACCAUCAAAUCAUCAGCGAUUCAAGCAAUAUAAUUCGUCCAGCAUUAAUUCACAAUCAGAAUCUAAUAUUCCACAAACUAUUACCAGUCCGACCAAUUUUAGGCAAAAUCGAUUAGGUGCUUUUUCUGGAGGAGACUCAAAUGAAACGAGCAGUUCCAAUGACUCAUUAUCUUCUACGUCGAGAGAUGGCAAUACUGUGAUAAGCGGGAUCCCAAAAAAACACGAAAGGGCCAAUCUCUCGGUUGCUUAUCCGAAGAGCUACAAGGCCCAAGGGAAUGUGACCCAAAUAUCCAAGAAGCCUGGCUUUAUGACCGUAUCUUCCAAUGGCAGGUCUAGUCCAACUUUGACUAGAGUCCGGAGAGUCAGAACACUAUAUGCCUGCUUAGGGGAACAUGAUGGAGAGCUCUCUUUUGAACCCAAUCAAAUUAUUACUAAUGUAAAAACAUCUCAAGAACCGGGAUGGCUUGAAGGAACGCUUAACGGAAAAACGGGUCUUAUCCCGGAAAACUACGUCGAAAUUCUCCCUUGACAACCUUCCAACUUGUCAAGACUAUCCAACACACUACGGCACGGGCUUUAUAGAGCUCUACAUAUCAGUAGUGCCGAGGCAUCCUCAACGGAGUCCAGAGAUAACAAUCGAAGACUGAACAUGCACAGACCAAGUUUAGAUGGAGCGUUGGUUAAACAAGCAAGCUUUGAGAGAAAAAGUUCGACAUAAAAGUACGAUUUCUAUUGGAUUUAUUGAGAUUGAACUGGAUCCGUGGGUUAGGGAUGACCUAAUUAUUUCCAAAGCAAUAAGAAUAUAAGUUUAUCCUUAUGUAUAUUAAUCUAUUAGCAGUGGCUAAAAUAUAAGAGCUAUUUAGACUUGAAAGAUAAAAUCACACAGUUACCAAUUUCAGUUCUCUUAUAAUCUUUUAAAGCCAGCGUAAAAUAUUAUCCAAAAUCGACGACAUGCAAAAGUUCAAAAGAGCUGAUUUUUGACUGUCCAAUAAAUAGUGUGGUGAAUCAGGGCGGCUUGGAUGUGGUUUAAUACCCGAUAAUUUCUAUAUAUUGUCCAUUAAUAUUAAUUAUAUCGUGUAUUCAAGAUGAACUAUACAAUUUUUUUGCCGGGUUAUUUUUGAUUCCUAUAUUGAAAAUCGUCUUAUUACACAUUUUAGUAUUUUACCUUCUCCAUACGUUCAUACUAAAUCACUCGGUUUAAUAUAGUAUUUAUUAAUUUUUGUUAAAAAUUAUGUUGGAAAAUAAUUUCGAGACCUAAUACUAAAUCACGGAAGACUUCAAUAACUAUUAAAUAAAGAUCAAUCCUAAGACAUAUUUGUUUAUAUAAAUCUUGUCAGUGAGUUCAAAAUAUAACUAUAUUAAAUAAGAAUUAUAAUAAUUCAAGUAUUAAACUAAAACAGAGAAGGUACAUCUUAUGUAGUAAGCAUGUCAGUCAAGGUUGUUCACUACUUAUAAUUUAUAAAAGUCGCGAUUCUCUUCUUUACCGAGAAAAUAUUUCUGGCUAGAUUGGUAUACCUUAAGUAUAAUUUGAUAAAAAUUUGAUUUAAAAAAAAUAUGGAAAUUUGUGGCAUUUAAUGCUCACAUAUUCGGUUUCCAGGAACAUACUAUUUACUAUAUCAAUACACCAUUUAUUUCACAUCAGAAAAAACUCUUUUGCACUCACACAUCAGAGCGUGGAUAUCUAAAACUAACUGAGCUUAUUCUUUUAAAGAUAGCAGUGUCUUGAAUUACAGAACUUUGGUAUCAAUGUUUGUCAAUAAGGACUUAUAGACUAACUAUUAGCAGAUCGGCAAUAUAAUUUCCACAUAAAGUAAUACUUUUUCAUCCUGUUAUUUUAGAGACUUAUACGCUAAUUUAUGUUAUAGUUUAGUUUAUUUCAUUAAAAUUGAUUAGUCCCAAAACCUUACUAUACAGUGCAUUCACAAAUUCAUUUAAAAUUCAUGAUAUUUUUUUCUUCUUUUAUUUUUUGAACACAUCGAUUAGUAUUAUCACUUGUGGGUUUUUUGAAAUAAAAAAAUUCUCUACAGUGUGUACUAACUAUGGCGUCAACAAUAACUUUGUUAAAUAGAACACCGUAUAUAUAAUCACCGUUUUACAAUUCUAUGAUAUUAUCUGAAUACUUUUUGUGCAGCAAACCAUAUGUCUAAAGUCAGUAGUUUGUCAAAUAUGACAUAACAGACUAAAACAUAAAAAUGCAUUCUAGAUUUAGUGCAACUAAUGUUUAAUUAAUUUGUUGUCCAUUUGAUUCAAUGCGUCCUUUGCAAUGGAAAUUUUGCUUACAGGGUGUCUCAAGAAAAAACUAUGACGCCAACAUUUGAAUGGCUCCGCCAAAAACUGGCGGAAAAUGACAAAAACUUAUUUUUUCAGAAAUUCAAAAAGACACUGAUUGUUCAAUGAAAUUAAUUUCUAAUUGACAAUUUCUUAUUAUAAAAAAGGGUUUGUUAUUGAGUGAAAUCACCUAUAAGAGAAAAUAUUGUUAUACUAUCAUAUCUUACUGAGAUAUUGACAUUUUAAAAGUAUUUUUUCGGGUACAACGUUGUAAGCGACGGCAACGUUGUUCUUUGAACAAGACGUAUAAUACUGAAUUAAAUGGGGCUGAUUCAAUAAUGUAAGUUUUGAAAUAUGAUCUUUAAUAAUAAUGAAUAAUAAUAAUAAUAAGAAUAAUAAUACAAAAAACUUAAGUUUUCUUAUUGUUCAACCGUAAUAUUUUCAUAAAAAGGCACAUAUUCUGGCGGGAUGUAUUUGCACAUAUCCAAAAAGUGCUUUUUCUUUGCCGCUUUGAUCGGGAUUCUAUCCUUGUAUAAAGGUGGGAACCGAUAUCUAUCCUUGUAUACUGGGGGCAUACUUCUCUUCCCUGGCCCCUUUACUUUUUUUGCUAAUGAGUGCGAAGUCCAUGUUUGAAGGACGUUGUGUGAUUUCCUUCCACGCAAUGUUAUAGGAUCAUCCUUUGUAAUUUGGUACCAUACAUGGCUAGUUACACUGAAUUUAUUUUUUUCCAGUGAAUCUAACAAAAUGUCGGUGUUUUUGAAGUCUGCUGUAUCCAUAACACAGACAGUAAAACGAUUGGGUGGUCCCUUGUUUAGCUAUGACUUCCACCCAUUGGUGAGGAACAUACACUGUUUUACCCUUUUUUGCUCGUUCAAUUAGAGCAAAGUCCCUGUCACAGGGUAGAAAACUAUGACCCGUCGUCAUAAACUUUUGCUCAACGGUAGUGAAAUAUUCAUUCAAGAGCAGGUGCUGCAAAACAGCUAUAAUCCGCCAGUUGUUGUUCUGACCUACAAAUUUGUCAGACCAAAACUUACGAAUUCUCACUUGGCCUGACUUCAACUUUGUAAAGUUAAGCUCAACAUAUUUUAAAAUGCAUGAUGCUAUUUCCGCAGCACCUCGCUUGGCAGUGGUCCCAUCCCAGAAAAACAUAUAAGCCAUGUUUCUCCCCUGGUCAUGUAUAGCCAAAUUGUAGCACGAUAGUUGCCUCUGGUAAAAUACGUUACUAUGCGUAAGGUUUGGGCAAAAUAAAACUUGUUGUAGGUCUACACAAAGCACAACGUUUUCAGAGCUUAAUAUGGCACUCUCUUUAUCUUCAGCAAGCGUCUUGUAAGCAGAGUCAGCCCUCAUAUGAUGAAGUUUGCUUUGAUUUUCAAUUAUUUUUUUUCUCUCUUCAGUGGCAGCUGCAAUGAGCUGAAUGUGCAGUUGAUCACAAUAAGUACAGGUAUCGGACCUAGGCAGACCAAAUCUUAGGUUGAACUCACUUUGAAAAGCAUCACGGUACAUGUGAAGUUUUGCAGUACUGUCGGUGUAUUUAAUGCAGAAAAGCUGCCACAUUUUCAUGAUACUCAGGUCAGGAUUCAAACAUUCCUUUUUGCUCAUAUUUCUGGAGUAGUGGUUUUCUUGACGAGGAAAAGAAGAAAUAUGCUGUUUGAUCUGUUCUUUUGUUUCAUCAGGGAUCCUAGUAUGAUUUCCAUGCGCGCCUCUGCCAUCGGUCAAGGGCGUGGUAAACUUUAUUUUGUCAACGGAGGACAAAAAUAAAAAGUGCCUUGCGGUGUUUCUCGACCUAACAAAAGCAUUCGAUACAGUGUCACACCAAAUAUUAUUACAAACAUUAGAAAAAUAUGGUAUCAGAGGCAAAGUAUUACAACUUUUACAGAGUUAUCUAUCAAACAGAAUGCAAUACACCAAGAUAAAAAAUAACCUUAGCGAUCCUGAUAUCAUUAAAAUUGGAAUACUGCAGGGCACUGUACUAGGACCCCUACUUUUCAAUGUUUAUAUAAAUGCAGUGAAUGAUAUAAAAACUCCUGGCAAAGUAAUAUCCUAUGCAGAUGAUACAGGAAUUAUAUUUAUUGGAGAUACAUGGCAAGAGGCAAAAGUGAAGUUUCAAGAAGGUCUAUCAUUAAUCAAAAAUUUUUUCGACACCUUUAAAUUGUCACUAAAUCCAAAAAAAUCUAAAUAUAUAGCAUUUUCCAUAAACAGUUCAAAUAGACCAAACUUUCAAAAUAUUAUAGUAAACAAUAUUAAUGAACCAAUUGCACAGGUAAACUCUAUAAAAUAUUUGGGAGUCCAUAUAGACAAACAUCUAAAAUGGGAUAUACACAUUGAUUAUUUAACAAAAAAGAUAAAGGCACUCUUACAUAAAUUUUAUUUAUUAAGGGAAAUUUUGUGCAGAAAACUCAUUGUGUUGAUCUAUAAAGCUCUCGUGGAACCCCUAUUAAGGUAUGGGAUAUUGAUUUGGGGUGGGGCAUAUGAAAACAGUCUAAAAAAUCUUAAAACAAUACAAAACUCAAUAGUAAUGAUAAUGUUAAAGAGACCUAGGUUAUUUUCAACAAAGCAAUUAUAUAAUUCUGAAAUACAAGAUUUAAAGACUCUUUUUAUAACAACCUGUUGCUCUUAUGUUCAUAAAUUCUAUGGUAAACAAAGUAUAAUAAACCAUAGACACCAAACCCGAGCUAAUAAACACCAGCAAAUUGUACUACCUUAUAUGAUUCGAGAUUUUGGUCAACAUUCGGCAGUAUUUUUAGCUCCAACAUUUUAUAACCUUCUCCCAGAAAAUGUCAAACAACAGAAAUACUUCAAAAAGUUUAACGAGCAUGCCCUAAGUUAGAUAUUAGGAAACAAAAGAAAAUUUUGUUGAUUGAUCAUAUGUGCUUGUAUCAAUAUUCUGCUUUUCACCAAACUUUUUAUUUUCUUACUUGAUAGCAAUCACAACAUAAAUACAUAAGGGAAAAAGAAAAAAUCUCAGUAUGGAUAUUUAUUCAAUUAUUUAUUUUGUUUCAAAUAUUAUAGGUUUUAGGUACCAAAGACUAGAAAAUUCUGUAAAAUACUACAUAAUACCUUUGUAGGUAAAAUGUAUAUGUGUAUAUAGUAUAUGAAUCUUUUUUUUUCUCUUUUUCUCGUUUUUAUUGUCUGGUUUUUUAUUUUUGUUAUGUAGUUUUGGGUAAACUUAUUUAAAAUGUUAAAUAUUGUGAACUAAUUUAUAUAACGGCUAGUCUGCUAAGGGUAACAACAUUGAUAUAUUAGAAUUUUUAAAUUGUUUCUACCAUAGCACAUACAGAUACUCUGGUAUCUAGGUGCUUUAUAUUCUUAGAAUUGUAAUAUUUUAUAUUGAAGUUGAAUAUUGAAUAUACUGAAUUGAAAUAUAUUGAAUAUUGAACGAGAAUCUGUAGGCGUCGAGGUGUAACCUUCAUUAUCUGGCAAAGUGUCUUUUGGCAUACGCGAAGGGUAGCAUCUUUCUUUGGGACAUAAUAUUGAACUGAACAAUGUCUAGUAGAGAUGUUUUCAUUCACUCGACGGCGAUUUAUAUCCCCUACCUUGAUGCAAGAAGCAAGAAACCUUGUUUGUUAAUUACAGUCCAGACUGUAGAAGUCCCUAAAUAAUUUUAGCAUUUCUUCAUGGGCAACCAAUCCACACUUGUAUUGACACUUGCAUAUUCUACCCUAAAACAGCAAAAUAACUAACCUGUAAAACUGUAAAGCACAUUAAAAAUGUUGCACUGGCCGCUUUCUUUUGGAUAUGUAUGGAUUUCCAGAAUCCCUUGAACGCUUACGACACUUAUCUUUCCACUCACUAACUUUAAUUUUCCUCUUUUUACCAUUAUUUAAGCGCUUUUGAUCACCAGGCGAAAAAACAACACUCUCCGCGCCGGACAUUUUGUCGGUUGCAACAUUGUUCCGAGCACGUCAACCUGUUUUCGAAGUCAUUUAACGUGCUGCCAUCUAAACCACAUUCAUAUAAAACUGAUACCAAAAACUGCCAUGCGGUAGAAAAUGUCGUUUACAACGUUAUUUUCUGAAAAUCUCAAUAUCGCAAUUAAUGUCGCUUACAACGUUGUUCGGCGGAGCCAUUCAUUUAUUUUUUAUGUCAUUUCUUAGAAAUUAAGUAGACCUUAAUCUUUCCGAACAACCGUUUUCAAUUCUAGAACCUACCAUAAGAGGUUGACAUAUCUAGUAACGAGUUAUGGUUUCAACAAGACGUUUUUCGCCAAUUUCUUGAUGCAAUUUUUCCUAACAGAUAGAUUGGACGAAGAGGAUCGAUUGAGUGGCCACCAAGGCCACCAGAUAUAAUCGCAUUCGAUUUUUUCUGAUGGGGCUAUUUAAAGUUUAUGUUAAUAAACCAAAUAAUGUUGAUGAUUUAAAGCAAAAAAUUGGAAAAGAAAUUAGACUAAUCGAUCCGCAAGUGAUUGGAAAUGUGCAAUUGGUUGUUGAAGUAAAUGGACAACAAAUUGAACAUCACUUGCAAGAAAUAUUGUUUAAAAUUUGAUUUUUAAUGUUCAGAAUAUAUCGUAGAAUUGUAAAAUGAUAUACAGAGUGUUACAUUUUAAAAAAUUAAUCUUAACGCCAUAGUUUCUACUUGAGGUACCCAGUAUAGAAAGUUUUUUAUUUCAAAAAACCCGCAAGUGACGAUGCUAAUCGACGUGUCCGAAAAAUAUUUUUAUAUAUAAUAUUUUAUUUAUUUUAUAUAAAUAGGCGUUGGUAAGCUAUUCAGUAGAUUUUUUACAAAAGCACCAAAGUAAUCAAGUACUACAAGCACAAAAUUGCACAAAGAUAAAGUUCCCUUCAUUAAUAACCUAUUUUUCUGUCGCCUUUCGGUGGCACCAUUUUUAAAAAAUAUACCGCAAAAUAGAUUGACGCAAGUGUAAUCAUAGAAAUUACGCGAUAUUUUUUUAUUUCAUUUUAUUAAUUUUUUAUAUAUUAUUUUAUUUUAAAAUGAAAAAAAUCUUAUUAUAUAAAGCUUUCUUCGUUUAUGCUCAUUGUUUUCUGGUUUCAAGACUUAUAAUAUAAAUAUAAUUCUUAGAACAGGUAUAUAUUUACCCACGAUUUAUUGGAAUGUACAUUUUCAUAUAUGAUCAAUUAGGUGUGUUAAAAAAAAACAAAUCAAUCCAUAACACCAAGUUAAUAUCGUACUGUGUAUAUGUAUUAAAUAAUUAUACAUAUUUAUAUUUUACAGUUUCAUUGUACAUAUUGUAUAGUUGCUGUGUAUAAUAAUUGGAUUUUUUUUUGUAAAUCAGAUAUAGAAAUAUGCUGUUAUUGCUUAUAUUUAAGACGGACCUUCCCUACUUCUCUAUAGAAUAUUAACAUUAUUUUAAUAGUAAUUUAAUGGGGUCUAAAAUAAAUGCAUAAGAUGACCGAGCAAUAACUGUAUAUGCAUGUAAGACCACUUGUUAGUAGUAUUAGUUUCAGAGUAAUUUUUCUGUGAUAAAUCGCACUUUUAUCCCAAAUUACCAUUCUUGAAUUUAUGACUAUUAUUCCACAUAUUUAACCUGAAAUGCCAUUUGUCAUUUAAAUUAUUGUCAACCAGGCUGUUUUUAAGUUCGAAGAAACUAAUAAAAAAGCUAAUCUACAUAUAACAAAUAAUAAUUAAAGUCGACCCUAAUUAGUAGUUCAUUAUAAUUCAUUGUAUAGUAAAAAAAUGUGAUUGUAUAGUAAACGUUUUCUUUGGUUUUAUUAAGCCACAUUUGAUAUAAUGUAUCUGGUUAAAUCAGUGGAAUAUUAAUAAAUAAAUCAAAUUAAUUGCACUACGUGAUCUUAUGAAUGAUAAUAUCAAUUAUUAGUUUUAGCUGAGUGUCUGUAUUAGAAGUUUAGCUUAAUGUAAGGGACCACAGAAUAAAUCGAGGAAAUUCACCUAUUGGAUGAAUAGAAAAUUCAUUUUUCUGUAUUCAGGUGGCUUGGUAAUUCAUUAUAUUUAUAUUUUCAAUUGAUUUUCGGAAUAAAAUCUUUCGUUACUUUUAUUAAUACCGUUAAUAUUGUUUUUUAGCUUAUAGGUGUACUAAAUUCGUGUUAAUUCAUUCUGUUCAGUAAGUAAAACCAGCAGUUAUAGCAAAAAGUGAUAUAUGCACUUUCUUAUUCUAUCAAUGCUAGAAUUGUCUGGUGGUACUAAGCUUAUAAUGUAUAUCACGAGUAUAUUAUAUAGUUUGCUCAAAAACUUGGCUGGCUCCUAAUUCUCGCAGAAGUGAAUUUUUAAUAACUAACAAUAUUUUGGCUAAGCAAACUUAGGAUGUAAUGAAAAUACGUUUUUUAACGUGAUUUUGAAAAAAAUACUUUCUGAUGGUGAUAAAUUGACUCGCCAUCUGUCCAAAUUCAUUAUUAAACAUUAAUGGAGAACUUGUGACACCUUGUUAUAAUAUUUUUUUAUAUAUAUUAAUCAGGUGCUUUGUUUUUCAAAAAUAUUGGCUUUUAUAAUUUAAUUAUAAUUUACUAUAGAAAUAAUAACUAUUUCUAUAUAAUUAUUGUUAUUUCCAUAAGAAAUAUUACUAAUUCUACUUUAACCCUUUUUGACGGGCAGAAACUCUUGAACAUUUUAAUAUUUGACUAACUUUUACUGCCUAAUCUGUUUCAUUACCAUAACUAAUGGGCUUAACCCCUUCAAACCUGAUCAGUUAAACAAAAAAGAGUGUGUGCAUAAUUGUGCACAAGGGACUUGUACCACAAUGUAAUAAUACCUUUGCAAAGUAAAUAAAUAGAUAUUCAUAUACUUGCAUAAAAUAUUUAUUGAUGAAAUUAUACAUUUUUAUUUAAAAAAAAAUGUGUAAAGAAAAAUUUGACAUUAGAAUGGAAUACAUGUGGUAUAAGCAUAGUAUAACAAAACAUAAUUUGAGAACUUUCUAUGAUACAAUAAAAAGCAGCUUCUUUCUUUUUUUAUGCAAAUGUGCACAUUACAUUUUUCACAAAAAAAAUUAGUCUUCUUAUUGCAAUUUGAGUACUUGCAUCGUUUUCCUUCUUUGGCUCCAUCAAGUUGAGGCAUAUGAUCAACACUAUCAUACCGAAUUGCAGAAAUAGUUCUGGUUUCUUCAUGUCCUAAUCUUUGUUUUUUUCGCGGUAUUGGUGGCUCUUUUAUUACCUUGAACUGUCUUAUUUGCCUUGAUUAAACCUUCACCAAGCCGCAUUUUGAAUUCCAAAAGUGAUAAUUGUUCUUUUAUUGGAAUAUUGAGGAUCUUACAAUCUUGUCGAUAUUCAAACCAACUGUUUACUGCAGGAAAAUCCACUGCAUGAAAAAUCAUUCUUAGGGUCCAUUUUCUUGAACGAAUAUAAAUUCUAUACAAACUUAUCAUCUGAUCCAGAAGAUCAACACCGCCCAUAGAAUGAUUAUAAAGUAUUACGAUUUCUGGUCUUGGUACAUAUCCUACUUAUCCCAUCUAACAACAGUAUCUUCAUUCCCAACACCGACAAAAUUUGAAACCAAAACUACAUAUACUACGAUUGUCCAUCCAUUUUACCAAAACAACAUCAUUAUCCUAACUCUUUAGUUGUUCGUAAGUGCCUCUUCCUUGCCUUUUCAUAUCUUUGUCGCUGCUCAAUGGUGGGUUGCUAAAUCGAUUUACUCUAACGGUUCCCGCCGCUGAUAUUUUUUUUUUAAUUGAGAACUUGAAGGGCAGCAUAGGAAGAAAAAUAGUUGUCGAAGUAUAGUUUGUGCCCUUCAUUUGUUAUUCUUUCGGAAAGUUGAAGUACUAUUGUGGCACCAAAUCCAAACCUUUUCAUUAAAGCGGCACUCAAUCCUGUAGACCCGCCUUGGUAUAAAAUAAAGUCAUAGGCCAUUCCCGAUUUUCCACAUAGAACAAACGAUUUUAUUCCCCAGGGUGUAGGUUUGUGUUUUUAUGUAUUGAACAACAGAAAAAUGUCCUCUAAAGGGAAUAAUCUGCUCGUCGAUGCAAAGAUUCUCUUCCAAUUUCAAUUCCAGACAUCGUUUUCGAAUACCUUUAUAUAAAGAUCUUACCUUAUAAAAUGUAUCUGUUGUAUCUUUGGGAAUGUCUAAGUUGUUUACACAAUGUAAGUUAGAACGAAGUUGAAAAAAAACGAUCUCUUGACAUAGUUUCCCCAAAAAUGUUGAUACGCGUUGGUAAAUUCAGCCAUUUCUUGAAAUUGAACAUCGUCUAUAUAUUUACCGAACUAUUGUAAUGGAUCUUGAACCUCAGACUCAACAGACGUAUUGAUAUCCGUUUCUUCUUUCCAUACAAAGUCGGGGGGAAAAAAAUCAUCUUUAGUCCAUUUUAUAGAUUCUUUCGACGUGACAAUUUUGCUGAAUUCGUACUGUUGUGAUGUAGGGGGACCAGCAAAAAUUGACAGAGGCAAGUCAUCCUCGUCAUCCCAGUGCAACUCCGGUAUUUCCACUGUAGUGGGCCCUUCUUUGUCAGUACCCAGGCGAACGAUAUUUUGCGCACUGGGUUGAGAUUCUUCAAAUUUAGAUAAAUUAUUACACUCCCAUUCCUCCUCACUAAGUUCAAUGUCGGAGGUUGAUUCCAGAAGUGUAAUAAAACUGCAGCAUCUUUUUCAUUUUCUGGGUCGUACAUUUUCCCUAAAAAAAUACACCCUGUAUCUUCUAACGUCCAAAUAAAAUAAACACUAAUAACAUAUAAAAAAAAAUUAUUUUAUUAUUUUUAUGCCAAACAUGUAUAUAAAUCGAAUAAGUAUAAAAAAUAUAACGUCGAGAUCGGGUGUGCAUAAUUAUGCACAAACAAAAACAGAUUAUGUUAUAAAGACAUAUUUUUAUCAAAAUACUCUAGAAACUAAAUUUGUCUAUCGCUGUGCUAAAUAUUUGUGCAAAAAACAUUUUAGAUUUCAUUGAUUAUUAUGGAUUUAUUUUUACUUACCACAGCUGAUUUGAUGAAUGGCGGCUAUUGCCAAUAAAUAAAUGAAAAUUCUGACACUCCUUCCAUCUAUCGUAUCCCAAAUCGAUAAAACUUUAGAGAAAACUGUACAACUUGAGAGGGUGACAUUUGAAAUAACUGUGCAUAAUUAUGCCCAGAGGGUCUUAAAGGGUUAAUGUAAUUUAGGAAUUAGGUUUUCAAAACUACGAAAUUGUAAUUUUCCGUUAAGGUUCUCUUCCAUUAGUUUAGACAGAAUUAUGGAUUUAAUUAAAAUAAUUUUUUUUAUUUAGAAAACAAGAGCACCGGGUGCAUCACAAGAUCUUUCUUAAAAUAAAAAAAUUUACGCCUACAUAGCAUUUAUCCUACAAAUACUAAUUAUUAAUUCUUUUAAAAAUUACAUCCUUUUAUAAUAAAUUUAUCUAACUGAAAUAUCUUUUUCUAGAGCAAAAUUAAGGAGACAAGUUUAGAGCUAUGAGUUAAAACGAACAGAUUAUACAUAUUAAAUUUCCAAGAUGUUGGAAAUAUAUUAUACAUAUUUAUAUUUAAUUUGUGAUAUAAUAUACGCGUUUACCAGUGUCAAGGGCCGCAUUCAUUCCUUUAUAAGAAAACCUGUAUUAUAUUUUUUGGAAGCUUUUGUUUUUUACACCUAAUCAUUUUCUUUCUUCUAUAUGAAACCUGAUAAACUUAAAUCUCCCCCUUUUUUUAAAGGCAAAUAUAAAACAAUAUUAAGUAUUUAAUUUUACAUUGGUCCGAUGGUGGACAAAAGCCUCCAAAUAUACUUACCCUUAAUAUUAUUAUAGUGUUAACUGUCCAUAUACGAUGUAUUUUUAAUUUAUAAAAUAAUAAUUUUAGUACAUUAUAUGAUACGUUAUAUUAUUUGUUGCAUUUUUUGUUUUCUAUAGCAUUUUAACUAUUUAUUGUUGUAAUAUUUUUUGAUUAAUAAAUAAAAUGGCGUUUAUUAAUUUUAA